AGAAUCAACGCUGGCGGCGUGCCUAACACAUGCAAGUCGAACGAGAAAGUGGAGCAAUCCAUGAGUACAGUGGCGUACGGGUGAGUAACACGUGACUACCUACCCUCGAGUGGGGAAUAACCUCGGGAAACCGGGGCUAAUACCGCAUAACAUCUACGGAUCAAAUGCGUAAGCAGCUUGAGGAGGGGGUCGCGGCCGAUUAGCUAGUUGGUGAGGUAAUGGCCCACCAAGGCAAUGAUCGGUAGCCGGCCUGAGAGGGCGCACGGCCACACUGGAACUGAAACACGGUCCAGACUCCUACGGGAGGCAGCAGUGGGGAAUUUUGCGCAAUGGGGGAAACCCUGACGCAGCAACGCCGCGUGGAGGAUGAAGCCCCUUGGGGUGUAAACUCCUUUCGAUCGGGACGAUUAUGACGGUACCGGAUGAAGAAGCACCGGCUAACUCUGCGCCAGCAGCCGC
rnacentral:rRNA from 1 species